rnacentral:rRNA from 1 species
UGUGAACUCGAAGAGUAGGGCGGGACACGUGGUAUCCUGUCUGAAUAUGGGGGGACCAUCCUCCAAGGCUAAAUACUCCUGACUGACCGAUAGUGAACCAGUACCGUGAGGGAAAGGCGAAAAGAACCCCGGCGAGGGGAGUGAAAAAGAACCUGAAACCGUGUACGUACAAGCAGUGGGAGCACCUUCGGGUGUGACUGCGUACCUUUUGUAUAAUGGGUCAGCGACUUAUAUUCUGUAGCAAGGUUAACCGUAUAGGGGAGCCGCAGGGAAACCGAGUCUUAACUGGGCGUUAAGUUGCAGGGUAUAGACCCGAAACCCGGUGAUCUAGCCAUGGGCAGGUUGAAGGUUGGGUAACACUAACUGGAGGACCGAACCGACUAAUGUUGAAAAAUUAGCGGAUGACUUGUGGCUGGGGGUGAAAGGCCAAUCAAACCGGGAGAUAGCUGGUUCUCCCCGAAAGCUAUUUAGGUAGCGCCUCGUGAACUCAUCUUCGGGGGUAGAGCACUGUUUCGGCUAGGGGGUCAUCCCGACUUACCAACCCGAUGCAAACUACGAAUACCGAAGAAUGUUAUCACGGGAGACACACGGCGGGUGCUAACGUCCGUCGUGAAGAGGGAAACAACCCAGACCGCCAGCUAAGGUCCCAAAGUCAUGGUUAAGUGGGAAACGAUGUGGGAAGGCACAGACAGCCAGGAUGUUGGCUUAGAAGCAGCCAUCAUUUAAAGAAAGCGUAAUAGCUCACUGGUCGAGUCGGCCUGCGCGGAAGAUGUAACGGGGCUAAACCAUGCACCGAAGCUGCGGCAGCGACACUAUGUGUUGUUGGGUAGGGGAGCGUUCUGUAAGCCUGCGAAGGUGUGCUGUGAGGCAUGCUGGAGGUAUCAGAAGUGCGAAUGCUGACAUAAGUAACGAUAAAGCGGGUGAAAAGCCCGCUCGCCGGAAGACCAAGGGUUCCUGUCCAACGUUAAUCGGGGCAGGGUGAGUCGACCCCUAAGGCGAGGCCGAAAGGCGUAGUCGAUGGGAAACAGGUUAAUAUUCCUGUACUUGGUGUUACUGCGAAGGGGGGACGGAGAAGGCUAUGUUAGCCGGGCGACGGUUGUCCCGGUUUAAGCAUGUAGGCUGAUUGUCCAGGCAAAUCCGGAUAAUCAAGGCUGAGGUGUGAUGACGAGGCACUACGGUGCUGAAGUAACAAAUGCCCUGCUUCCAGGAAAAGCCUCUAAGCAUCAGGUAACAUUAAAUCGUACCCCAAACCGACACAGGUGGUCAGGUAGAGAAUACCAAGGCGCUUGAGAGAACUCGGGUGAAGGAACUAGGCAAAAUGGUGCCGUAACUUCGGGAGAAGGCACGCUGGUGUGUAGGUGAAGUCCCUGCGGAUGGAGCUGAGACCAGUCGAAGAUACCAGCUGGCUGCAACUGUUUAUUAAAAACACAGCACUGUGCAAACACGAAAGUGGACGUAUACGGUGUGACGCCUGCCCGGUGCCGGAAGGUUAAUUGAUGGGGUUAUCCGUAAGGAGAAGCUCUUGAUCGAAGCCCCGGUAAACGGCGGCCGUAACUAUAACGGUCCUAAGGUAGCGAAAUUCCUUGUCGGGUAAGUUCCGACCUGCACGAAUGGCGUAAUGAUGGCCAGGCUGUCUCCACCCGAGACUCAGUGAAAUUGAACUCGCUGUGAAGAUGCAGUGUACCCGCGGCAAGACGGAAAGACCCCGUGAACCUUUACUAUAGCUUGACACUGAACAUUGAGCCUUGAUGUGUAGGAUAGGUGGGAGGCUUUGAAGCGUGGACGCCAGUCUGCGUGGAGCCAACCUUGAAAUACCACCCUUUAAUGUUUGAUGUUCUAACGUUGGCCCCUUACCGGGGUUGCGGACAGUGUCUGGUGGGUAGUUUGACUGGGGCGGUCUCCUCCCAAAGCGUAACGGAGGAGCACGAAGGUUAGCUAAUCCUGGUCGGACAUCAGGAGGUUAGUGCAAUGGCAUAAGCUAGCUUGACUGCGAGCGUGACGGCGCGAGCAGGUGCGAAAGCAGGUCAUAGUGAUCCGGUGGUUCUGAAUGGAAGGGCCAUCGCUCAACGGAUAAAAGGUACUCCGGGGAUAACAGGCUGAUACCGCCCAAGAGUUCAUAUCGACGGCGGUGUUUGGCACCUCGAUGUCGGCUCAUCACAUCCUGGGGCUGAAGUAGGUCCCAAGGGUAUGGCUGUUCGCCAUUUAAAGUGGUACGCGAGCUGGGUUUAGAACGUCGUGAGACAGUUCGGUCCCUAUCUGCCGUGGGCGCUGGAGAAUUGAGGGGGGCUGCUCCUAGUACGAGAGGACCGGAGUGGACGCAUCACUGGUGUUCGGGUUGUCAUGCCAAUGGCACUGCCCGGUAGCUAAAUGCGGAAGAGAUAAGUGCUGAAAGCAUCUAAGCACGAAACUUGCCCCGAGAUGAGUUCUCCCUGAGACUUUAAGUCUCCUGAAGGAACGUUGAAGACGACGACGUUGAUAGGCCGGGUGUGUAAGCGCAGCGAUGCGUUGAGCUAACCGGUACUAAUGAACCGUGAGGCUUAACCUU